rnacentral:lncRNA from 1 species
CUCUUCAAAGGGAAGCAGGAGAAUCAGAUUCAAGACACCGUUUUGCCACUGGUGCAUGACCUUGGACAGGUCACCAGCCCUGUCUGGCCUCAGCUUCUUCAUCUGGCUGCUCUGGGAACACAGCAGAGCAGUGACUGUUCAACUUAGAAGGGCAGGGUGAUGCCUGAGCGAGGGUGGUGUGUGCCCCAAAACACCAGCCUCGAAGCUUCUAAGGUGCUCCCACUACUACUUAUGGACAUGCGGCCCAUCCCUUAAGUGGGGGUGCAGUGGGGAAAAUUUGAGGACUUACUGGACUAGACCAGCAAGAUCCCUUCUAGGAGUCUGACAUUAUUUUUUUGGCCACACUCAAGGCACGUGGAAGUUCCCAGACCACGGAUUGAACCUGUACCACAGUAGCAACCCAAGCCACUGCAGUGACGAUGCCGGAUCCUUAACCCACUGCACCACAGGGGCCGGGGAGAAGUUCAAUAUUUAUCCACACAUACUCCCACUGUUCACCAUAUUUCUGGAAUUUUUUAGAAAUCUCUUUCAAAGAAUAUACUUUUGAAUCUUCUAAAAGGGGUAGAAAAUCUCUCACUGGCAUUUAGAAACAACCAAAAAUGCAAGGGUCCCCUAGAAAUUGUGCAAUCAAGCUGAGUAAUAACAUUUUUGAUCAGAACUUCAGUGUGGACCAUGCCAAAGUUAGAGUCAAGCGAAGACUGGAAGGAACUGGGAAAUGCUUUAAGCUGUGGCUCCUUUUUUCUUUUACCUUUUUUUUUUUUUUUCUUUUGGCCACACCUGAAGCAUACAGAAGUUCCCAGGCCAGGAACCGAACUAGAGCCACAGCAGUAACCAGAGCCACGGCAGUGGCAAUGCCUGAUCCUUAACCUACUGAGCCACCAGGGAACCCCCCUCCCUUUUUCACUUUAAAGUUGAAUUACCAAAUGAAAUACCGAAAAGUUUGGCGGGAAGAAAAAGGACUGAUUUGUUUAACAUGAACAUUGACCCUGAAGGGGUGAUUUUGUUUUUGAAAGAGACAACAUUCCUUUGGAUGAAUAAGUUCAGGUACAUUUGUGGGAAAAACAAAACACCAGCAAAUAUUUCGCUUUAUUGGCAAGCGGUACUUAAUUUUCCUAGGAGAAACAGUUAUAUGGACAAGCUAUAUGUUUUAAGAAGCAUGGACUCCAAAAGACACAAACAAUUCAUUAACUUUUGAUUUACAAACAGUUUUGAGUCAAAAAUUUCCAAUGGCUUCACAACCAGCUAUCAAAAGAAUUCUGUCUGGGAGUUCCCACCGUGGCUUCGCAGAAACGAAUCUGACUUGCAUCCGUAACUAUGUAGGUUUGAUCCCUAGCAUGGCUCAGUGGGUUAAGGACCCAGCGUUGCAGGCCAGCGGCUACAGCUCCAAUUUGACCCCUAACCUGAGAACCUCCAUGUGUAGCAGUUUGGUCCUAAAUAGAUGAAAACAACAACAACAAAGAAUUGUGGGGGGCUACCCGCAAAACCAAAUUAUCCCGAGGUAUUUUAGGGUGCCCAUGGAAGCCACAUCUGCUAGAAAGCUGACCUGAAACCACUGCAGACCAAAAGACCCUGCAGUGGGGUCUUGGUUCACUAUUGUGGCAUGGGUUCAAUCCCUGGCCUUGGAAACUCUACAUGCCUUGGGUGUUGCCCUGCACCCCCAAAAAAAGGAUAAAAAAAAAAGCUUAUAAAGACGGAAAAAGUGAGGCUUGAUGAGAUUUGUUAAGAACAAAUUAACAAAUCAGAAUAAAACAUUUUAUCAAUAGCCUUUAGGUACAAGUACAUAAGGUAUCAUAAAGAAACUGUUGUGGUUAUUCACGUCAAAACAUACGCAAAAUAAAACCUAAACAUUCCAUUUUUGCUUGACUUAAAAUCUAGCCUGCUGAAAAAAAUAGCUUACUUACUUUAAAAUGGUUAUCAUGAAACUAAUUUAAAGUUAGUUCUGUGCUUUUAAAAACAUCCGAUAUUGCUUGGGGGCUGGAGGAGAGGGCUGUAAAAAAGUACAUACGGCCAGCAAAUUCCAGUUCUAGGAAUUUACCCCAAGGAAAUAAUUAGCAGUUAGGAUGGGUUCAAGAGGUUAUCAAUACAGUUUACCACAAGUGUUGAUAGUAGUGAAAAUUGAAAACAGCUUCAAUAUCUAAAUGGUUGAAUGGUUGAAUUAUGGUAUACCCAUUCAGAGAAAUAUUAUGCAAGUGAGAAUAACAUUAUAGAAUUAAAUUUAUUGACACAGAAAGAUUUAUGAGGAGUUCCCGUCGUGGUGCAGCGGAAAUGAACCUGACUAGGAACCGUGAGGUUGCAGAUUCAAUCCCUGGCCUUGCUCAGUGGGUUAAGGAUCCCGCAUUGCCGUGAGCUGUGGUGUAGGUCGCAGACGUGGCUCAGAUCCCGCGUUGCUGUGGCUCUGGUGUAGGCCAGUGGCUACAGCUCCGAUUAGACCCCUGGCCUGGGAACCUCUAUGUGCUGCGGGUGCGGCCCUAAUAAGACAAAAGACAAAAG